rnacentral:rRNA from 1 species
UGAGCAAUCUGCCCUUCUCAUCGGAAUAAGCGUUGGAAACGACGUCUAAUGCCGAAUACGACCUCCUUUCGCAUGAUCGGAGGUGGAAAGCUCCGGCGGAGAAGGAUGAGCUCGCGGCCUAUCAGCUAGUUGGUGUGGGUAAUGGCCCACCAAGGCGACGAUCAGUAGCUGGUCUGAGAGGAUGAUCAGCCUCACUGGGACUGAGACCAGGCCCAG